ACAUUGUUUAGAGAAGAUUAAGAGAUGGCCCUGGGUUUGGAGGAGGAGGCCAUCUAUGGUGACGGAAUGGACAUGGAGGAUGAGGACCGCAUCCCAGAUGAGGAUAAGGAAGAUGAUGAGAGUAGUGGAGUGCAUAUUUUGAAUUGUGAACACAACUUUGUUUGCCCUACAGCAUCUGUAAAAAAUGUCUGUUAUAAUAAUGUCUGACAUAUGUUUUAUUCAGUCUGUGAGCCUGAGACUUCCAACAAGGAAAAUAAGUUUGUUCCAGUCAUAACUGAUGAAGCUUUUCCAAGUCUGUUGGGUGUGGUGCGGUUUAGUCCAGGGACUACGUCAACAGCCAGAGGAACAGGACUCAACGUCACACAGAUCUGCAGGUUGUGCAACCAUGUGAAGGAAUGGUCCAACCAGCCAAUCUGCUGCUUUCUGCUGCCAUUUUGGUGUCUGGUUGCAUGCUGAUCAAGGUCCUCAGAAUGCUCGGAAUGAUGAUUGGCCACCAUUCACCGCAACACAUUCUUCCGUCACCAGCAUAAACACCUCUAGCCAGCAGUCCUCGUGACAUUGGAUGUUGAGCAGAGUGGCAUUGAUGAAACCCUCAAGGAAAUGGGUGGAGAUCUGGUCUUGGCUGCAGAUGGAAGGAGUGAUAGUCCUGGCCACUCUGUGAAGUUUGGGACAUUCACUGCUGUUGAACAGAGAAUCAACAAGAUCCUGAACAUAGAAAUUGUUAAUUGAAGUGUAUUUUUUUUAUCUUAGAGCUCUUCGCGCCACGUGGUGUGAGCUGCGGGGGUUGAAGAGGACUAAACAGUUUGUUGACAGUGCUGAGCUGGUGGUUGGAACCCUCAUUACUGACCAAAACAGGCCGAUCUCUAAAUGGAUCUGGAAAAACAUGCCAGUUCGCCUACAAAGCAUCGCUUGGAUAUUUGUCUAAAUGUAGGCAAGUUGAGAACAAGUUCUCAUUUACAAUUGCGACCUGGACAGAACCAACACACUAACCACUCAUGCCUUCGGGUCCAAGCAGAGGAACGAAUUAACCAAGUACAACUCUGGUACCUUCAAUGGGGCUGAAGAUUCUACAUGGGGCCUUGAUCCUUAAGGACAUAUCACAACUAUCCACUGACAACAGGUACUCCCUCUCCUUUGCAAAGGCCAAGAAGAGUGGAUACACAAUUCAGCCAGCGAAGACCAAACCCACCUACGACUAUGCUGAUAAAAUAGUUUUUUGUCUGGAGGAAGAAUCAGAUCGCAGGAUCCUGUAAUAACCUCAACCACUCUGUAGUCAGUUUCAGCGUCCCACGAAGGACCGGGCAGUGGGGGAGUAUAUAAGCCAUUUCAAGGCAGCUGGCACACCAUGAGCACCCUUCUUCCCACACUUUAAAUUACAUUUGAGUCAUUUGACACUCUUAUCCGUACCAACUUACAGUAUUGAGUGCAUAGAUUUCACACUUUUUCAUACUGGGAUUUUCAGAAUUCGGACGAAAUGUAGCAGUUGAUACUAGUUGAACAGCAGGUGUGCAAUGUCUUCAUUGAUUUGUCUGGCUUUGUGGAGGGUUCUGGAUUUGUGGAGUGAGGAGAUGCUUUGGCACUUGACACUGCAGACCUUGCUCGCAAUGUUGACUGUUCUGUGAAUUGUCCUGAUGUUGUCACGUUCGUUGAAAGGAUGAGACCAAGGCGCAGCGUGAGAUGAAUACAUAUUCUUAUUUAAUGAAACGAAGAACACUUAAACAAACUUAGGAUAACGGCAGACACAGGCAACUAACACAUAGACAAUAACCCACGAAAUACCCAAGGAAUAUGGCUGCCUAAAUAUGGUUCCUAAUCAGAGACUACGAUAAACAACUGCCUCUAAUUGAGAACCAAUUUAGGCAACCAUAGACAUACAUAACACCUAGACUAGUCAACACCCAUUGACAUACAAAACCCCUAGACAGGAGCAAAAAACACUUACAUCACCCAUGUCACACCCUAACCUAACCAAAAUAAAAGAAAUCAAAGAAUACUAAGGUCAGGGCGUGACAGUACCCCCCCCCCAGAGAAUCUGGCGGACCGGACUGGAGGGAGAAUCUGGCGGAUCCGGACUGGAGGGAGAAUCUGGCGGAUCCGGACUACGGCCCAUCAUGGGAGGUUCCGGUCUGCGGCCCCUCUCUCUGGACUGGGUACUGUUGCCGGAAGCUCUGGACUGGCGAGGCGCACUGUAGGCCUGGUGCGUGGUGCCGGUACUGCUGGUACUGGGCUGGGAACACGCACCUCAGGACGAGUGCGGGGAGCAGGCACAAGAAGUACUGGGCUGUGGAGGCGUACCGGAGGUCUGGAGUGUAGAGCUGACACAACCCGUCCUGGAUGGAUGGUUAUACUUGCCCUGCGAAUGGUUAUACUUGCCCUCCAUUUGCAGGGCGCUGGCACAAGACGCACAGGUCUGUGCAGACUCACAGUACGCAGAGCCGGCACAGGAUAUCCUGGUCCAUGGAGGUACACUGGAGACCAGGAGCGCUGAGCCGGCACCAAAUCAAAUCAAAUGUAUUUAUAUAGCCCUUCGUACAUCAGCUGAUAUCUCAAAGUGCUGUACAGAAACCCAGCCUUAAACCCCAAACAGCAAGCAAUGCAGGUGUAGAAGCACGGUGGCUAGGAAAAACUCCCUAGAAAGGCCAAAACCUAGGAAGAAACCUAGAAAGGAACCAGCCUAUGUGGGGUGGCCAGUCCUCUUCUGGCUGUGCGGGGUGGAGAUUUUAACAGAACAUGGCCAAGAUGUUCAAAUGUUCAUAAAUGACCAGCAUGGUCCAAUAAUAAGGCAGAACAGUUGAAACUGGAGCAGCAGCACGGCCAGGUGGACUGGGGACAGCAAGGAGUUAUCAUGUCAGGUAGUCCUGAGGCAUGGUCCUAGGGCUCAGGUCCUCCGAGAGAAAGAAAGAGAGAAAGAGAGAAUUAGAGAGAGCACACUUAAAUUCACACAGGACACCGAAUAGGACAGGAGAAGUACUCCAGAUAUAACAAACUGACCCCAGCCCCCUGACACAUAAACACUGGAGGCUGAGACAGGAGGGGUCAGGAGACACUGUGGCCCCAUCUGAGGAUAACCCCGGACAGGGCCAAACAGGAAGGAUAUAACCCCUCCUUCCUGGCUGGAUGCCCAUUCUAGCCCGGCCAAUGCGAGGAGCUGGAAUAGAGCACACCGGGCUAGAAAUGCGCACUGGAAACACAGUGCGUUCCACUGCAUACCACGGUGCCUGACCAGUAACACGCUCCCCACGGUAAGCGAGGAGUUGGCUUAGGUCUCCUACCUGACUCAGCUAAUCUCCUCAUGUGACCCCCCCCAAAAAAAUCUUGGGGCUGCCUCUCGGGCUUCCGUGCUAGCCGUGUACCCUUAUAUCGUCGCCGUUCCUCCAUUCUCAUGUAUCCCUCCUCGCACUGUUCCAUAGAAUCCCAAGCGGGCUCUGGCACUCUCUCUGAAUCGAUCGACCACCACUCUAUCUCCUCCCAGGUUGUUACCCACUCAUCCUUCUCCCGGGUCCAUUCUUCCACAAAGCGUUGUUCCUCCCUUUCACGCUGCUUGGUCCUUGUUUGGUGGGUUAUUCUGUCACGUUCGUUGAAUGGAUGAGACCAAGGUGCAGCGUGAGCUGAAUACAUAUUCUUAUUUAAUGAAACGAAGAACACUUAAACAAACUUAGGAUAACGGCAGACACAGGCAACUAACACAUAGACAAUAACCCACGAAAUACCCAAGGAAUAUGGCUGCCUAAAUAUGGUUCCCAAUAAGAGACAACGAUAAACAGCUGCCUCUAAAUGAGAACCAAUCUAGGCAACCAUAGACAUACAUAACACCUAGACUAGUGCCCACCCAUAGACAUACAAAACCCCUAGACAGGACCAAAAACACAUACAUCACCCAUGUCACACCCUGACCUAACCAAAAUAAUAAAGAAAACAAAGAAUACUAAGGUCAGGGCGUGACAGAUGUUCUGUUAUUAACAGUGAACCGUACCAGCCAUAGCAUCCUGUCCUUGUUCUAAUUGUUUUACAAUACUUGAGAAACUUACUAAUUAUUUUUUCUGUCUCUCUUCCUCUAGGAACUUGAAUACUACCUCAGUCUAAUGUCACGCUGCCAUCAACACACCAGCAUCCAGCCCUAAGCUGAUUCCUGUCUGUCUGCUAGGGUAGAGCUGUAACUGUCAUUAGGGUUUUGUUAUAGUUGUUCCCUUGUACCCUCUGCCCUUGUUGACUUCCCAUUACUGUGCUGAGAUUGGAUAAGUGUAAGCAGCACUUUGAGCCUGUAAUGAACCUAACUACUUACCUACACACCCGCCCGUGGUCUGUUCAUCAUACAUUGGGCUCCUUCACAUAUCUCACACCAAGUGUGUGUGCUGCUUCCGCCAAGCUUUCAGCGUGAACUCAGUCAUACAUAAAGGACUGUACAGUACCAGUCAAAAGUUUGGACACACCUACUCAUUCCAGGGUUUUUCUUUAUUUUGACUGUUUUCUACAUUGUAGAAUAAUAGUGAAGACAAACUAUAAAAAUAACACAUAUGUAAUCAUGUAGUAACCAAAACAGUGUUAAACAAAUCUAAAUAUAUUUGAGAUGUGAGAUUCUUCAAAGUAGCCACCUUUUGGCUUGAUGACCAAAUAGGGCUAUCUUCUGUUUACAGUACCACCCCUACCUUAUCACAACACUACUGAUUGGCUCCAAUGUAUUAAGAAAGAAAUACAUUCCACAAAUUAACUAUUAAUAAGGCACACCUGUUAAUUGAAAUGCAUUCCAGGUGACUACCUCAUGAAGCUGGUUGAGAGAAUGCCAAGAGGGUGCAAAACUGUCAUCAAGGCAAAGGGUGGCUACUUUGAAGAAUCUCACAUCUCAAAUACUUUUUGAUUUGCUUAAGUAGGCGUUUCCAAACUUUUGACUCGUACUGUAUAUACAAUUAUUUAUUGUAUUUCUAAAUGUUAUUGUUAAAUAUCACUGUUAUGGGGACUGUGACCACGAAGUGGAAUGCGAUAAAAUAAGACCCAUGACAAAAGUGAUGUAUUGGUAUAACAUAUUUUUACAACUGUUAAUAAAAAGGUAAAAAUGU